CAGUCGCCACGGUAAUACGAAGGGGGCUAGCGUUGCUCGGAAUGACUGGGCGUAAAGGGCGCGUAGGCGGUCACGAUAGUCAGAUGUGAAAUUCCUGGGCUUAACCUGGGGACUGCAUUUGAUACUGUGUGGCUUGAGUGUGGAAGAGGGUCGUGGAAUUCCCAGUGUAGAGGUGAAAUUCGUAGAUAUUGGGAAGAACACCGGUGGCGAAGGCGGCGACCUGGUCCAUAGCUGACGCUGAGGCGCGAAAGCGUGGGGAGCAAACAGGAUUAGAUACCCGCGUAGUCCCUGUCUCUUAUAC
rnacentral:rRNA from 1 species